GAAGUGGCCGUGGGUUCCCAUUCUGACACAUGAGAGGGAAGAGAAGCUGACACUGCCUCUCCCUCACUUCCUGCCUAGAAUGUGGAAGUGAUGCUCAGUGCAAACCAAGUUAUGAAAGAGCAGAGGGAGCAGAAAGGGAAGAGUCUCUUCACAGAGAAGAUCAGAGAGACCAGGAGGAGGCCACAUGGCCUCUGAGAGAAGCCGGGGUGAAGACCGAGGCCUGGAGCAGCCCAGACUUGUCACGCCAUCUUCUGGAACAUCACCCUGACUCCCCAAACCCUGAGCUCCAGCCCGAGUAUCUUGCGACUCCGUUACCUGCCGUCACGGUCGGAGGUGCCUGUUCUGGCCAAGGUGUUCCGUGCGCCCCGACAAGACUGUUUGAACUAGGUUGGCAUCUGUCACGGUACAAAGCGUCCCUCCCGUUCUGGCCUGCCCCACACGGUGAAACCUUUCUACGUGGUGCUCAAAGAACCAGGACGUAUGUCUUCAGCUGAUGAACUCUUGCCCUUGAGCCUCACAGCAUCACGGGACCACUGAGGCCUCAGCUGUGACCAGAGCCAAGCGUGGAGUCACGUUCCCGCAUGUCAUAGCCAGCUUGUGGGAAAGGAGACAUUGGGCCUCAGACCGCUAUAGUCAUAGUUUAUCUAUGAAAUGAUUUUCCCAAAAAUCAUGUAGAAUUGCUCCUGACAGGCCACAAUGUCAUAACUACUCACCCAAAUGCCAACAGGGAUUACUUCUGAUGAGGGAAGAAGAGAAGAAAUCAGGAUGGCUGAAGAGAGUUUUCCCUUUAUCUAUAAGAUAUUAUUAAAUAUAUUCAUUCAUCAUUAAAUCUCAUUCCCCCGAGGCUCUGGGGGCCUAGAUACACCAAUGCAAAACUCUGUG
rnacentral:lncRNA from 1 species